GACGAACGCUGGCGGCGUGCCUAACACAUGCAAGUCGAACGGAUAGGCCCUGCUUUUGUGGGGUGCUCGAGUGGCGAACGGGUGAGUAACCUAUGAGUAACCUGCCCUCGACUCUGCGAUAACUUCACGAAACUGGGGCUCAUACCGGAUAGGAGCUCCUGCUGCAUGGUGGGGGUUGGAAAGUUUCGGCGGUUGGGGAUGGACUCGCGGCUUAUCAGCUUGUUGGUGGGGUAGGGGCUUACCAAGGCUUUGACGGGUAGCCGGCCUGAGAGGGGGACCGGCCACACUGGGACUGAAAUACGGCCCAGACUCCUACGGGAGGCAGCAGUGGGGAAUAGUGCACAAUGGGCGGAAGCCUGAUGCAGCAACGCCGCGUGCGGGAUGACGGCCUUCGGGUUGUAAUCCGCUUUCGCCUGUGACGAAGCGAGAGUGACGGUAAUGGGUAAAGAAGCACCGGCUAACUACGUG
rnacentral:rRNA from 1 species